UACGUAGGGUGCGAGCGUUGUUCGGAAUUAUUGGGCGUAAAGGGUGCGUAGGCGGUUCGGGCAAGUCUCGUGUGAAAUCUUCGGGCUCAACUCGAAGUGUGCGCGAGAAACUGCCGGGCUAGAGUGUGGGAGAGGUGAGUGGAAUUUCCGGUGUAGCGGUGAAAUGCGUAGAUAUCGGAAGGAACACCUGUGGCGAAAGCGGCUCACUGGACCACAACUGACGCUGAGGCACGAAAGCUAGGGGAGCAAACAGG
rnacentral:rRNA from 1 species